rnacentral:lncRNA from 1 species
CGCCGUGUCGAUCAUCCGGUGAGCCCCCAAGGUGUAUAAGACCCUCCCCACCCCGUAGACGAACCCUAGCUCCAUUCCCCUCGCUCUCUCGCCCACCAUCGUCGAUUUGGACGCGCCCGAGUACCCAACCGCCAUGGUCGUCGUCUUAGCCACGGCCACCGCACUCCCCGCCGGCUUGGAGCUUGUGCAGCAGCUCCAUCGCGGUCGUCUGCAUCUUCUACUCCGCCGUAUCGAGGCCGGGGGCCAUCACCGGCGACGCUCGCGCCUUCUUCCUCCGCCAUGGCCGUCCGACGCCGUCGUUCGAUCCGCACCAUCCCGGCAACCUCCGGCCUCCCCGACCUCGCCAUUGAGCUCGCAGUGAGCUCCUCUCUCAAUUCCCCUGCUUUUCCCCUUCGAUUUGUCAUUGUAUGCGUCGCCCCACGAGGACCAAUCGCCAUGGCCGGAGUUGGCCCGCCCGUGCCCCUAGUCGUGCUCGCGCGCCUCCGCGUCCGCCCGUGUGCGCUUGGCCUCGCCCCCGUGCGUCCCCUGGUCGCCUUGCCCCUGCGUGCGUUAGCUCCGGCCGCGCACAACGCGUGCCCGCGGCUGUUGUCCCCACUCGCUGCCGCCCAUUGCUGCGGCUGCUCUGUGCUGAAGCCGCCCAUUGCUAUUGCCGCUGCUCUCUGCUACCAUUUGAUGCUCAUCUGCUCUUGCUUCCUACUGCUGGUGUAUCUCUGCUAGUUGUCGGUGCUGCUGCUCCGUGCUUAUACCACUGCUAGCGCUGCUCGAUUGCUCGUGCUACUGCAGUCGGCUAUCUCCGGGUACGGCUGCUACUGGCUAGCGCCGGCCAUGGCCAAGUGUGCGUGUGUGUUAUGCGUGUGUGGGUCGUAUGUGUGUGGUGUGUGUGGCUGGUUAUGCCACAGCCGUGUGUGGCCGGCCCUUGUUUAACUAGUAUAGCUUAGGAUUAAAAUUAGUGCUAAGUUAGUCUAAUAGUAGAUGACAUGUGGGACCACCCUGGUUAAUUACCAUUUUAUUAAAACUAAAGACAAUGACAUGUGAGACCCACUUACACUAUUCUUAUGUUGACCAGUCAACCUUUGACCGGGUCAGCCUAACCCCACUGGCCCCACUGUCAUACUCACAUGCUAGGAUAGCACUAGGUAACAAAAGUAUAUUAUGUUUUUAAUUCGAAUUAUUAUAAAUCCAGAAAUUCCAGAAAUUAUUUAAACCUUUAAAAAUUAAUAUAAAAUAAUUCGUAGCUCGGAGGAAAAUAUUUUGUACAUGAAAGUUGAUCAAAACGACGAGAUGAAUCCGAAUACGCAUUCCGUUCAUCCGCCACACGUCCCUAGCAUAGCGAACAUGUAACUUUCCCCUUCGGUCCGUCAGUCCGAAAACGCGAAACACCGGGAACACUUUCUCGAAUGUUUCUCCCCUUCGUCGGUAGCACCUACUACUUUGUUAGGUUACCUCUAGCACCACGUAAUGCCAUGUUACACUUUGUGAUGCUUUGAUUGCUCUGUUAUUUAUUGUGUUUCCUCUCCGUUACUUCUUUCCGGUAGACCCCGAGACUGCCGGCGACCUUCAGUUCGACUACGGUGUUGACGACCCCUCUUUCUUGUCAGGGCAACCAGGCAAGCCCGCUCCCCCCUGAUCACCAGAUAUCGCCUAUUCUUCUUUAUACUGCUUGCAUUAGAGUAGUGUAGCAUAUUACUGCUUUCAGUUAAUCCUAUAUUGUUGCAUAGCCUGUCCUUGCUACUACUGUUGUUACCUUUAUUUGCUAUCCUAUUGCUUAGUAUGGGAUGCUAGUGUUCCAUCAGUGGCCCUACACUCUUGUCCGUCUUUCAUGCUAUACUACUGGGCCGUGACCACUUUGGAAGGUGAUCACAGGCAUAUACUAUAUACUUUACACUGUUACAUUACCUGUGAUGCUGUUCGGAGAUGGGGGCUGAAGGGGCAGGUGGUUCCACCCAGGUAGUGGUGGGCCUGGGUUCCCGACGGCCACCGAUUGUUACUUUAUGGCGGAGCGACAGGGCAGGUUGAGACCACCUAGAAGAGAGGUGGGCCUGGCCCUGGUCGGCGUUCGCGGAUACUUAACACGUUUAAUGAGAUCUUAGUAUGUGAUCUAAGUCUGGCCACUGGCCUACGCGCACUAAUCAUCUACGCGGGGACAGUUAUGGGCACUCGACGUCGUGGUAUCAGCCGAAGCCUUCGUGACGUCAGCAACUGAGCGGCGCGCGCCGGGUUGGACCGCGUAACGCAACUUCCUUUGUAAUGGAGGUUGCUAGGUCUGCUCACCGGCCGCGUUCGUAACGUGUAGGUGUGCAACAGGCGAUGGGUCCAGACCCCUGCGCUAUAGGAUUUAGACCGGCGUGCUGGCCUCUUAUUGUGCCUAGAUAGGGUUGCGACGUGUUGAUCUUCCGAGGCCGGGCAUGAUCCAGGAAAGUGUGUCCGGACAAAGGGGAUCGAGCGUGUUGGGAAAUAUGGUGCACCCCUGCAAGGAAGUUAAUCUAUUCGAAUAGCCGUGAUCUUUGGUAACAGGACGACUUGGAGUUGUACAUUGAUCUUAUGAUAACUAGAAUCGAUUACUUAAUAAAACACACUCUUCCAAGUGCUAGAUACAACCCGGUGUUCGCUCUCUAACAGGGCGACGAGGGGAGGAUCACCGGGUAGGAUUAUGCUAUGAGAUGAUACUUGGUGAACUUACCAUCUACUCUCUUCUACAUGCUGCAAGAUGGAGGUUGUCAGAAGUGUAGUCUUCGACAGGACUAGCUAUCCCCCUCUUAUUCUGGCAUUCUGCAGUUCAGUCCAUAUAUGUUACCCCUUUUCCAUUUGAUACCAAUGCAUACAUAUGUAGUGUAGCUCCUUGCUUGCGAGUACUUUGGAUGAGUACUCACGAUUGCUUUGCUUCCUCUUUUUUCCCUUUCUAUACCCGAUUGCUGCGACCAGACAAUGGAGCUCCGGAGCCAGACACCACCGCUGACGACGACUCCUACUACAUUGGAGGAGCCUACUACUACGAGUAGGCUGCUGACUACGACCAGUACUAGUUUAGGAGGAUCCCAGGCAGGAGGCCUGUGCCUCUUUCGAUCUGUAUCCUAGUUUGUGCUAGCCUUCUUAAGGCAAACUUGUUUAACUUAUGUCUGUAUUCAGAUAUUGUUGCUUUCGCUGACUCGUCUAUGAUCGAGCUCUUGUAUUCGAACCUUCGAGGCCCCUGGAUUGUAAUAUGAGGCUUGUAUGACUUAUUUUAUUUAUAGAGUUGUGUUGUGAUAUCUUCCCAUAAGUCCCUGAUCUUGAUCAUACAUGUUUGCGUGUAUGAUUAGUGUACGGUCAAAUCGGGGGCGUCACAUAAAUGAAUAACUGUAUUGCAAUAAAC